rnacentral:lncRNA from 1 species
ACAGCUGGCUCUGUCUCCAUCCUCCCCUAGCGUCUGGGGCAGUACAGCUAGCUCGGACUCCAUCCUCCGUUAGCGUCUGGGGCAGUACAGCUGGCUCGGACUCCAUCCUCCCUUAGCGUCUGGGGCAGUACAGCUAGCUCGGACUCCAUCCUCCCUUAGCGUCUGGGGCAGUACAGCUGGCUCUGUCUGUCUCUAUUGCACUCCACACUGGCCUUUCCCACCUGGACAAAAGGAACACUUAUGUGAGAAUGCUAUUCAUUGACUACAUCUCAGCGUUCAACACCAUAGUACCCUCAAAGCUCAUCACUAAGCUAAGGAUCCUGGGACUAAACACCUCCCUCUGCAACUGGAUCCUGGACUUCCUGACGGGCCGCCCCCAGGUGGUAAGGGUAGGUAGCAACACAUCUGCCACACUGAUCCUCAACACUGGAGCUCCUCAGGGGUACAUGCUCAGUCCCCUCCUGUACUCCCUGUUCACCCACGACUGCAUGGCCAGGCACGACUCCAACACCAUCAUUAAGUUUGCAGACGACACAACAGUGGUAGGCCUGAUCACCGACAAUGACGAGACAGCCUAUAGGGAGGAGAUCAGAGACCUGGCCGGGUGGUGCCAGAAUAACAACCUAUCCCUCAACGUAACCAAAACUAAGGAAAUGAUUGUGGACUACAGGAAAAGGAGGACCGAGCAUGCCCCCAUUCUCAUCGACAGGGUUGAGAUGAGAUGAGAUGGUUGAGCGCUUCAAGUUCCUUGGUGUCCACAUCAACAACAAACUAGAAUGGUCCAAACACACCAAGACAGUCGUGAAGAGGGCACGACAAAGCCUAUUCCCCCUCAGGAAACUAAAAAGAUUUGACAUGUGUCCUGAGAUCCUCAAAAGAUUCUACAGCUGCAACAUCGAGAGCAUCCUGACUGGUUGCAUCACUGCCUGGUACGGCAAUUGCUCGGCCUCUGACCGCAAGGCACUACAGGGGGUAGUGCGUAUGGCCCAGUACAUCACUGGGGUUAAGCUGCCUGCCAUCCAGGACCAGGCAGUGUCAGAGGAAGGCCCUAAAAAUUGUCAAAGACCCCAGCCACCCCAGUCAUAGACUGUUCUCUCUACUACCGCAUGACAAGCGGUACCGGAGUGCCAAGUCUAAGACAAAAAGGCUUCUCAACUGUUUUUACCCCCAAGCCAUAAGACUCCUGAACAGGAGGACCACAGGCCUCACAAGACUCGUCUGAAGAUCC